CACGUAGGGCGCAAGCGUUGUCCGGAAUUAUUGGGCGUAAAGAGCUCGUGGGCGGACUGUCACGUCUGCUGUGAAAAGCUGGGGCUUAACCCUGGCCUUGCAGUGGAUACGGGCAGACUAGAGGUAGGUAGGGGAGAAUGGAAUUCCCGGUGUAGCGGUGAAAUGCGCAGAUAUCGGGAGGAACACCGGUGGCGAAGGCGGUUCUCUGGGCCUUACCUGACGCUGAGGAGCGAAAGCAUGGGGAGCGAACAGG
rnacentral:rRNA from 1 species